rnacentral:rRNA from 1 species
GACGAACGCUGGCGGCGUGCUUAACACAUGCAAGUCGAACGGAAAGGCCCUGCUUUUGUGGGGUGCUCGAGUGCGAACGGGUGAGUAACACGUGAGUAACCUGCCCUUGACUUUGGGAUAACUUCAGGAAACUGGGGCUAAUACCGGAUAGGAGCUCCUGCUGCAUGGUGGGGGUUGGAAAGUUUCGGCGGUUGGGGAUGGACUCGCGGCUUAUCAGCUUGUUGGUGGGGUAGUGGCUUACCAAGGCUUUGACGGGUAGCCGGCCUGAGAGGGUGACCGGCCACAUUGGGACUGAGAUACGGGCCAGACUCCUACGGGAGGCAGCAGCGGGGAAUAUUGCACAAUGGGCGGAAGCCUGAUGCAGCAACGCCGCGUGCGGGAUGACGGCCUUCGGGUUGGAAACCGCUUUCGCCUGUGACGAAGCGUGAGUGACGGUAAUGGGUAAAGAAGCACCGGCUAACUACGUG